CCUUCUGCUUGCACAUGCCUCUUCAUCUCUUUUCCUACACUCUCUUUUGCUCUGGACUGUUGACUCUGAGUACUUCACCUCCUUCACCUCCUUCACCUCUGCUCCCUGUAACCUCAUUGUUCUACUUGAGUCCAUCUCAUUUACACACACAUACUAUGUUUUUCUGUCUUAAGUGUGAAGGACAUUUUUAUUCUGUAAAGCACUUUUGGUUACAAGUGUAUGAAAAGUGCUUUAUAAAUAAAGUUUGAUUUAAUCUUGGUCUGUCUAUUACCACAAGGCUGAUCCUUGAUGCAGUCCCACCUCUGUUUCACCUACAGGACUUCUCACCUCUGUCUUACAGCACUCAUCAGUGUCCUGCACAACUUUCUUGACUAUCUACCAACUACCUCUGGAGAGUCUCCUCAGCACCUCUGGACGAGAUUUUCUAGGUCACCAAGCCAAGACAUAUGGAAAUGUCAGCACCUCCCAGGAGACGGUCACUAAUGCCAAGACGUGUGGCGAGCAUAGACUAGGGCCGGGUGUACACUCCGUCCAGCUGUGGCUGGGACCACCGGCCAACCUAUUAACCCGACGACGUGCCCAGCCCUCUGCCUCCACCCGUGAGGGAAACUAAUUGUGAGUGUUAUUGAUUGCCACAGCAGAUCUGUGCUGUCCAGUGGGUAAAUAAGAUGGAUGGAGUUGUCAGGUUGUCAUCAGGCCGGGUUUUUUGACAGCAUGCCUCAGGGCGUGUACAACACAGCGCAGGUUAAGUGAAGCACUCGCUGUGCGGCGAAGCGGUUGCUUUGACUUUGGACAAAGGUGUUGAGAAUGCAAUGUCUUGUUUUACUACACGACUUGUUCUUCAGUCCAGUUCGUUAGUCUUCACUCAGAAAGAAAAAAUCCAGGUCAACACAUUGUCAAUCUUUUUUUUUUUUUUCUAGAUUGGUGCCUCACUGUUUUGGGAGUUAGUUAUUUUUUUGACACAUUAACAAAAAGAAGCAAAAAUGAAGCAAACGAGAAGUUAAAUUGAAAGCUCGAUGCAAAUACUUAAUACAUGUUAAUUCUACAAAAACUUAAAUUAGUGUUUUAUUUGUGUCUUAACUUAAACUAGGACCAGAUCAUGACUAAAUUAAUACCCAGCCUAUCAGUCGAUAGUUAACAUGUAAGCUGUGCUUAAGGGUAAAAAAACUAUAAAUUGUUCACACCAUGAUAGACAGCAUGUCCAAAGCCCGGCUCUUGAGGCCAAAUUCCAACUGGGAACUAAGUGACAUAUAGUAACUGGAAAACUGUAUGUACAUUUACUUUUCUUUAUUGAGCAGUGAAGAUAUUGUGUUUUACUUUCUUUUUUCAACGCCUAAUAUGGGUGUAACACUUAAAUGACUAAAUAGAUGAAAUGAAUCCAAAGAUCGAUGUGUCAGAAGCACGUUACUAAUCAAAUCGCAAAUAUCAUUAUAAAGUUGUUCUUAAAAAAAUAAAGAAAUUAUAUUUUGUGGCAGUGUUCUUAACAGUAAAAACUAAAACCAAUCAAAAUUAAGAUGAACAACCAAAAAGUCCUAUUGACUGAUCAAUUCAUUGUAGAAAAUAAAAAUAAAAAUGACAAAGAUUUAUCAACUCAUUACAGAAAUAUUCAAAUGCUUUUAUUAAACAAACAAACUAAAACAUACUUGAGUCGCAUUGAGUCAUU